rnacentral:lncRNA from 13 species
UGCACAGCCCCAUGUCACAAGGAUCUGUAAAUAAUUCCUGGAAGCUGAAAUGGCCUGCACACUCACCAGACAUGUCACCCAUUUAGCAUGUUUGGGAUGCUCUGGAUCGACGUGUAUGACAGCAUGUUCCAGUUCCCGCCAAUACCUAGUAACUUCGCACAGCCAUUGAAGAGGAGUGGGACAACAUUCCACAGGCCACAAUCAACAGCCAGAUCAACUCUAUGCGAAGGAGAUGUGUCACACGGCAUGAGGCAAAUGGUGGUCACACUAGAUGCUGACUGGUGAUCCACGCCCCUUUUUUAAGGUAUCUGUGACUACAGAUGCAUAUCUGUAUUCCCAGUUGUGUGAAAUUCAUAGAUUAGGACCUAAUUAAAUUAUGUCAAUUGACUGAUUUCCUUAUAUUAACUAUAACUCAAUAAAAUCUUUGAAAUUGUUGCAUUUGCGUUUAUAUUUUUGUUCAGUAUAUAAUUGUGUCCUUUACAUUUAUUGAAAUACUGUAGAAUUGCACUCGUUCCUAUGGAUGACUGCUCCUUCUGAGGAGUGCCAAUAUGUCGGCCGGUGGCUUCAAAGGCUCUAAUUGCAGGUAUGGGUAGCUGUAGCCCAAUAUGUUGACUUGAGUAUGGGUGAGUGGGUGUGUCGAAAAGGAAUGGGUGUGUGGAAAGUGAAUCAGCUAAUUGGGCAGAUUUGUUGGCACCAUUUUGUGUGGCUGAUUGGGCUGCAUGACGAGUCGAGAAAGCUUAUCACAUGCUUCCCAGAUCCAUUGAGUCCCAUCUGUUGUGGACCUGCUGCUUUUGGCGUGGUGUUGCAAACUGUGCAAGGACCAAUCAGAGGAGACGACCUGCCCAGUAUUGAUAACAGCUGCUUGACUAUUGGUCUUAUGAGGUCAUAAUAGGGGAUGGGUUAUUGUUGGUCAUGGUCGUGUUCCCCUGCUUAGACAUUGCAUGCAUCAACCAAUGUUUGCGUGCCGUCGGGCACCAGAUUGCAAAAACGUAUGAUGUGGUGAGCUGAUACCUAUCACAGCGUUGUAAGAUAUGGCAUGCGGCAGCAACGUCUGAGCAGGGGAACGCGACCAUGUUGUUGUUUUAUGUCAUUCAUAUGUGCAGCUCUUUAUUUUUACACUGCCUUCCAAAGACAUUACAUUCUCAUUUGAUUUGCUGUCACUUCAUGGUGUAGCUCCAUGGUGUAGCUCGUUUACCACAUAUCAAAUGUGAAAUAAAUAGAUUUACACUGGAUACUCCCCAAAUUUCCCCCCACAUUUCUGUUCCAUUUUGAGAAACACCUACUGCAUAAAAUAAAGUUUCUUCUGUUUGGUGCUUUGGUUGACUGAAUUUGGAUUCUCACAUCCACAGUAUGUGCAGCAUGCAUUACUAUGGCAUUAACCAAGUUCCCGUACGACCAUGUUUCUUAAUGUUGAACUGUUUACUUUUAUCAGUGCUUUGUAAAUAAAUAUGUAUAGCUACGAUUACAGAAUGAAUAUACAGUUGAAGUCGGAAGUUUACAUACAUUAAAACUUGUUUUUCAACCACUCCACAAAUUUCUUGUCAACACACUAUAGUUUUGGCAAGUUGGUUAGGACAUCUACUUUGUGCAUGACACAAGUCAUUUUUCCAACAAUUGUUUACAGACAGAUUAUUUCACUUAUAAUUCACUGUAUCACAAUUCCAGUGGGUCAGAAGUUUACAUACACUAAGUUGACUGUGCCUUUAAACAGCUUGGAAAAUUCCAGAAAAUUAUGUCAUGGCUUUAGCAGUUUCUGAAAGGCUAAUUGACAUAAUUUGAAUC